rnacentral:rRNA from 1 species
GAUAAACGCUGGCGGCGUGCCUAAUACAUGCAAGUCGAACGGAGGUAUGUAGCAAUACGUGCCUUAGUGGCGAAUGGGUGAGUAACGCGUUGGUGACCUGCCCCGAAGAGGGGGAUAACGGUUCGAAAGGACUGCUAAUACCCCAUAUGGUUAUAAGAGUUAGAGGUCUUAUAUCUAAAGGAGUAAUCCACUUCGGGAGGGGCCUGCGUCCCAUCAGCUAGUUGGUAGGGUAAUGGCCUACCAAGGCGAUGACGGGUAGGGGACCUGAGAGGGUGGCCCCCCACAAUGGAACUGAAACACGGUCCAUACACCUACGGGUGGCUG